UUCCUACGGGGCGCAGCAGUGGGGAAUAUUGCACAAUGGGGGGAACCCUGAUGCAGCGACGCCGCGUGGGUGAAGAAGUCAUUCGUGAUGUAAAGCUCUAUCAGCAGGGAAGAAAAUGACGGUACCUGACUAAGAAGCCCCGGCUAACUACGUGCCAGCAGCCGCGGUAAUACGUAGGGGGCAAGCGUUAUCCGGAAUUACUGGGUGUAAAGGGUGAGUAGACGGCAUGGUAAGCCUGAUGUGAAAGCCCGAGGCUUAACCUGAGGACUGCAUUUGGAACUAUCUAGCUAGAGUGCAGGAGAGGA
rnacentral:rRNA from 1 species